rnacentral:lncRNA from 1 species
UAUAAUACUAUAUACUGGAUGGCUAUAUGUAGUUUGUACUAUGUAUUAUACUUUAUAAUUUACAUUAGUUGUUGGAUAUUGCUGUCCCAGGAAAGAGACUUGUGCUUGGGUAAAGCAACUUUCUCUAGUCCAAGGCCCUUUCCAAAGGUCAGUUUCUGGAGAAGACUGACAGCUAAGGACCCCUCUUCUGUCAGUUAGGAUGAUGUCUUAAAGUCCUGAAGGAGGGUAUGGCUGAUUAUCACAGCAUCCACUACAGCUUUAGUUUUAAUUACUCCAAUAAAAUAAUUGAAAUUUUUAAAUAUAGUAGUCUUGAGCAGCUACUUUUCAUUAUACAGACUACAUAUUUCACUCAUGAUGCAGAAUAAGUUUGCUAAUAUAACUGAAAGCCGGAUGAACAAUCCCAGUCUACUCUUUUCUAAGCUUUGAAAGCAUUUAUUUUGUGCUUCCUUGAAUACAUUGGUUAAAUCUAGAACAGAAUUUAUUGAUUGUGUAUAACAUCAUUGCAGAAAUUCUACCAAGAGGACAUACUUCCUAACAAUGCUUAGAAGACACUGGAGGCCAGCUAUUCAAUAGCGCAAUAUUUUUUUUUUUUCAUUUCAUAGUGGCCUGUGAGCAAAGAUACAUAUAAGCCCAUUUUGGGACCAUAACAUAGGAUCCCAAACUAUAUAAUUAAUUUGAAGAGAGAUACUAGGUAUUUAGGGUAGAAUAGAAUACUUAAGUUAUUUUACUUGAUCUGGAAAAAGAAAAUUAUAUCCCAGUGUCAGAAGCAAUGACAUGUGCAGAAACAUCAGUUCUUCAUGGGACUGUGCAAACACAGUGACCUCCAUUAAUUGGCCAAGGGAUGUUUUAUAGAAGCCAAAUGAAGUAAGGGUCUUUUAUUGACAGUUCCAUUGAGGAGACUAUCGAGAAAUCACUGCUUCAACCCCAGAAUGCUUCCCUGAAUAUGGAGGGAAUCACAUAGUAAGGAUUUUCAGUCAAUUCUGUGAUGGUGACAUAGCUUUCUUUUCUUUUUUCUUUUUUUUUUUUUUUUUUUUUUGUGAAUACUUUGGUAGGACCAAUUAGAAAUAUAAGGGUUUGAAUUACAUGAAGUCUUCAGAAAAAUGGUGAAUUCUGAAAAUUUGGGAAAAUAUUUUAAAUUUCAGAAUACCUUAGAAGCACCAUGGAUACACAUGACCUUCAAAGUCUGUCCACAUGAGAAGUAUUAAAAGUUUCACUUUUAGGGAACCCAGGAAUGUUUUUCCUGUUUCAUAUUUUCAGGUAACAAAUUAAGUACUGCCCUAUGUACUGCAAGUUGAUGACAGGAACCAUUCCUUAGAAGGGCAGGUGUUUGAAGGGAAACUUCCAGGAGCAGAAAUGGGUAAACCAGAGUUAUAAAAGAUAAUCCAUCAAGUUAUGGGGAGUUUUAUUGCAAAGAAAUAAAGAGGCUCUAAAUCUGGUUAGAUGAAUAAAUGCCGUUUAAAAAUGAUACCUUCAAAAAGAUUAGACAGCAAGUAAUAGCUUAAUGGUACAACAGUAGUAGAGUUUGCUGGUCUUUGAACCUGCUCUGCGAUUUUUUUUUUUCCCAGUGUAAGAUAAGAAAAUGACACUCUGGUAAGGACCUGUAGAGGUUAUGCUUUUCAUUCUUGUGCCUGUAGAAUUGUCUGAGAGUGUUUGGGUAAGACUUUCUUUCAUCCUCUAGGCAGAAAUAAAAUAGCUGAACUUUUAUAGAAAGGUUGCCCUCUAAAUAAUACUUCUGGCUAAGAUUGCAAGUCCCAUAAAUCUUGUGCAAAAAUGUGAACUGCUCCUUUUCCAGCUGCUAGAAUUACCUAUGCCCAAUGAUGGCAAAUAGUUUUAACUCAACAUUUUCUGUGUCUUUGUCUUUCAUUAUUUUAUUUACCUUAAAUACAUAAAUGAAUGUCCAUGCAUAAGAGAUACAAUUAGUUUUAAAAACUAUUUUGUGCCAAAAUGGCUAACAAGCAAUACCAUUUCUAUAAAUAUAAAUGAAUACUAAAAUUAUAAGUGAGUCUUGCCUUUGAGCCCAUGUCCUACAGAACAUAUGGAUUCUUCCUCCCUACUUAUUUAUAUUUAUGUGUAAAUAAGCAGCAUUCUUAAACAUUCUGGGAUAAGGAAUUGAAAUUUCUCUUUUACCUUUAUUUUCUAGUCUUUGACUAGCCUUAGGUCUUAGAAUCUGAGAAGUUGGAAUGAAUCAUUAAGUUUUCAGUUGACUUAGACUGAAGAAAGACCCUAAUUGUUCAUAUUUGCAAGAUUUUAAAUAUAUAACAUCUGCUGUCAUAGCCAUAGAUGAUUUAAUUUUUCUAACACGUGCUUUCAACCUUUAAUUUUCUGCAAAGCAGCCACAUCAAUUAUUAAUUCAUCUAUAUUUCCUCAAAGCAAGUCAGACUUAAGAUCCUUCAUUAAUAUUUAAGGAUACUGCUGCAAAAUAAACAAAACUUUUACUGAACUUUUAAUUGCAAGUUUGAGAACCAACUAUUGCAAAAGCAAUGAAAACCAAGACAAACAUGUUAAAGAUUCCAGAGAAGUAAAAAAAGCAGUGAAAGGACAGGGAGGCUGGUUUCCUACCAUAACCCUCAUUGUCUCAAUUUUACAAUGUGAAUCUCAUUUACCACACAUUUAACUACUGGAAUAAAUGGAUAUAGCCAAAUUUAACUCAGGCCUGACUUAUGAUUGCACUUAAUUUCUGACAGUCCUCUUUUGCUCUUUUUUUCUCUCUCUCGCACAUAUAUUACCAUGUAUUCUCUAUACUUUUUACCAAUAAUACUGACCAAGGGAGUUCCCAUAAUGGCUCAGCAGUUAAUGAACACAUCCAUGAGGACAUGGGUUCAAUCCCUGGCCUCACUCAGUGGAUUAAGGAUCCAGCUUUGCCGUAAGCUGUGGUGUAGGCCACAGACACAGUUCAGAUUUCAUGUUGCUGUGGCUGUGGUGUAGGCUGGUGGCUACAGCUCCGAUUCAACCCCUAGCCUGGGAACCUCCAUAUGGCGCAGGUGCAGCCCUAAAAAGACAUAAAAAAAAAAAUACUGACCAAGUUACUGAAAGAAGACAUAUAUGAAUAUAUAAAAAUAGCCUCCAUGGUAGUCAAACAAUAAUAGCUCUAACUUUCCUUUCUUGUUAUCAAUAGCAAGGCUUCUGAGAUAGUGCUAUGUACUGAGUUAUGUGCCUCCCCUUAGCCCCUCAGGAGACAGCUUGAAGUCCUGGUCCCUGGCACCUGUGAAGAUGACCUUAUUUGAUACUAGGGUCUUUGCAGAUGUAAUCAGGUUAAGAUUAGGUCAUGCUGAAUUAGGGUGGGCUCUAAUGCCAUAUGUCUGAUGUCCUUAUAAGAAGAGAAGAACCACCCAGAAAAAAAAACUGUAAGCAAAUCUAUUUUUUUUCCACUUAAAAGUUAUGAAAUAAAACAUAAGUAUAAUGCAUAGUAUCUGUGUAUGGUUUAAAAAUAAAUAUAAAGAAAGCCAUCAUCUGACCAUCAUUCAGGUCAGUAAACAAGACAAUGAGGCAUUCCUGAAAGGCUCUCUAUAUGUCUCCCUUAUUAUAACCCACUCCCUCCCCAGGGCUCACUCCUGUCUGAUAAUCAUUUGGUAGCUUUUCCUUAUAGUUCCAUCACCCAUGUAGUCAUAUCAUAAAUAAUAUGGUUUAAUUUUUGCACUGAUAAAUUUUAAAAUAAGUUUAUAUUUAGAUGAACUGACUUGAUGAAAAUGCAUUUUAGAGCUCUGCUUAGGCAAAUUCACAAGUUAUUAAUUGAUAUAUAACAAUUAAAACCAACACUGUAAAAUCACAUUUUACUUUAUUUUUUUUAAUCUUAUUUUAUUUAUUUAUUUAUUUUUGUCUUUUUAGGGCCACACCACAGCAUGUGGAGUUUCUAAGGCUAGGGGUUGAAUUGGAGCUACAGCUGCUGGCCUACACCACAGCUCACAGCAAUGCUGGAUCCUCAACCCACUGAGUGAGGCCAGGGAUUGAACCCGAAACCUCACGGUUUCUAGUCAGAUUCGUUUCUGCUGUGCCAAGACAGGAACUCCCCUAAAAUCACAUUUUAAAUAGUUGAUUCACUCAUUGAACAUGUUAUUACUGAGGAUAUAUGGAGUGAACUUUUAUCUUUUAGGAUUUUUCUAGAAUAGAGAUUAAUAAUCAUGUCAAUAAUGCCAUUUUGACAAAGUAAAUUCUUUCAUAGUCAUGCUUAAUUGUUUCAUACAAACAUAUUCACACAUUGAGAGUUUUCAAGAUGUAGUGAUAUUCUUUAUAAUAUAGAAUACUUGCUCAAUUCAGUGGAUUCUACCAAUUUAUAGAUUAGCUUUACUAAUUCACAUAAACAUGAGCAUGUGAAGUUUUACAUAUGCUGCACACUUUAAUUUUUGUUAAGACACUAGAUUUAUCUCAACAUGUCUAGUUAGUGAACUUGCCCAGUUUGUGCGCAUGAAUUCAUCUUGAUAUAUUGAUGUAUCUUUAAAAGGUAAAUAAAUCUUUGUUUAAUAUCAUAGACUGCUCAAUGUUCUAUGUAUUUAAGAAUUUCAAUGGACUAUAUACUGUGUGUGAGGAAGUAAAGGGAUUCAAAGUAGUUUACAUUGUUUAGCACUAAAUUGUUUGUCAAUGGAAACUGUCAGAUGUUUUGCAAGGCACCAGAGCACAAGUAUUUUCUGCCUUUUGAGAAGCUCAUGGUCCUCAAGAAAUAAGAAGGGCUUAGCUAAUGAUUAUAAUAUAAUAAUGCAUUCUGAAGUUCAGAAAAAUUGCAAGUACAUUUUGUAGUUCAGUUAAGAAGAGUGAUGAAUUCUACCUAAAGAGAAAAAAAAACAACAACUGAUUUACAUAGGGAAUGGCAUAUAAAAAGCCAAUCUUGCAUCUGGAAGAAGAGGAGUUUUUACACAGGGAAUGACAAGGUCAAAGAAGGGCAAAAAUGUAUGGCCUGUACUGGAUUUUUUAAUGCCAGGAAAUACACCUAGUUAAUAUUUAUCUAUUGGAGUUUCCGUCAUGGUGCAAGGGAAGCAAAUCUGACUAGGAACCAUGAGGUUGUGGGUUUGAUCCCUGGCCUUGCUCAGUGGGUUAAGGAUCUGGUGUUGCCAUGAGCUGUGGUGUAGGUUGCUGACAUGGCUCGGAUCCUGCGUUGCUGUGGCUCUGGUAGGCUGGCAGCUGUAGCUCCUAUUAGACCUCUAGCCUGGGAACCUCCAUAUGACUCAGAUGCAGCCCUAAAAGGACAAAAGAC